rnacentral:rRNA from 1 species
UACGAAGGGGGGCUAGCGUUGCUCGGAAUCACUGGGCGUAAAGCGCACGUAGGCGGCUUUUUAAGUCAGGGGUGAAAUCCUGGAGCUCAACUCCAGAACUGCCUUUGAUACUGAGAAGCUUGAGUCCGGGAGAGGUGAGUGGAACUGCGAGUGUAGAGGUGAAAUUCGUAGAUAUUCGCAAGAACACCAGUGGCGAAGGCGGCCCCACUGGCCCGUAACUGACGCUGAGGCACGAAAGCGUGGGGAGCAAACAGG